rnacentral:rRNA from 1 species
CAAUAGCGUAUAUUAAAGUUGUUGCGGUUAAAAGCUCGUAGUUGGAUUUCUGCUGAGGACGACCGGUCCGCCCUCCGGGUGAGCAUCUGGUUCGGCCUUGGCAUCUUCUUGGUGAACGUAUCUGCACUUGACUGUGUGGUGCGGUACCCAGGACUUUUACUUUGAGGAAAUUAGAGUGUUUCAAGCAGGCAUACGCCUUGAAUACAUUAGCAUGGAAUAAUAAUCUAGGACUUCGGUGCUAUUUUGUUUGGUUUCUUGGAACUGAAGUAAAUGAUUGAUAGGGAGUAGUUGGGGGUGGCUAGUAUUGAGCGGCCAGAGGUGAAAUUACUUGGAUUCGCUCAAGACUAACUUAUGCGAAAGCAUUCACCAAGGAUGUCUUCUUUAAUUCAAGAACGAAAGUUGGGGGAGUCGAAGAUGAUUAGAUACCAU